UUUUUUUUUUUUUAAUAGUUGUUUCCCCAAUACAAUUUUUUUUUCCUCUGCACAGCAUGGUGACCCAGUUAUACAUGCAUGGACACAUUCUAUUUUCACACAUUAUCAGGCUCCAUCAUAAGUGACUAGACAGUUUCCAGUGCUACACAGCAGGAUCUCAUUGCUAAUCCAUUCAAAGGCAGUAGUUUGUACCUAUUAACCCCAAGCUCCCCAACCACCCCACUCCCUCUCCCUCCCCCUUGGCACCUCCCCCUCCCCCUUGGCACAGGAAAGGUUUUAAUUUAGAUUUUACAACCUCAAGUUAAUACCUCAGUGAAUUGCUUUACAUUUUGAAACUUCAUUUUCCGAGAGCUAGCUCCAAACUGGCUUCCUUCUCUUGGCAGAAGCACAUAGUGAAUCUCAGAACCUAAAAAAGAUCCUAAGAAGCAAUUUUCUUUCUAGGAGGAUUGGUUCUAUUUCUGACAUGCAAUUUUCCCUGUGCCUAAAUUCACAAACCACAACCUGAAUCAUAAAGAUAUCUGACACUCGUAGGAGAUACUAAUGUGGUCCCUUUAAAUAUUGAAAAUAUAAUGAAGUCAGGAUUCAGUCCAAACAUUCUACCUUUUUCCUUGUAUAAAUACAGACAGUGUGCAGGACCUAACUGAGUUCUUGGUUCAAGUCCAAUUUGGUUCCACUGAACUAGUCACUUCUCUCGACCCUUUGUAUUUAUUUCAAUUUAUUUAAGAAACAUGACUUACGUUACUGAUACAGACAACCAGUGAGAGAUAGAAAAGGAUCAUAACAGGACAGGAUGUGUAGACACCCCAUCAUGUUCCAUAUAUUCUCCCGAAGUUCAAAAAAACAGAUGAGUUGUCCCUGCUGCACUGAGAAAUCUCGUAGGUCAGCAGAGCAAAGGCAGUACGUUUUGAGGAACUUAGUCCAAUGCUCUAUUCCACCAGAAGGGCACCGAGCUGCCUUGAGCAAUUGCCUUGCCUCUCCAUCACAAUUUCCUGUUUCACAGUCUGCAAGAUCGAACAGUAUGUACCUUGUAAAAUCUCGGCUGAUAUCUGGCAGGGGUUCCUCAUUCAGCCCGUCCUUCAAUAAGCACGAAGUCCCUAGCACGUUGGGGAGGGUUCGUUCGGAGAUUGCCUAACCCUUGCCAGAUUCCUUCCCCAAGAAGGCUGUAUAAUGCUUUCUGCUGUCAUGAAAGGCUUCUGCUAAGAAUCACAGCGCCACCAUCUGUCUGGCUUUGAGUGGUGCCUGCUGCCUGGACGUUGCUCUUCGCUGUCUGCAGGACUGGAGUUCCAGGUACAGAGACCUGCCUGGAUCAGAUCUGACAUGACCUUUUAACUGCUGUAUCCUGGACUCGAUUGUCAGGUAAGCCCUGGAAUCUGCAUGCCUUUUCACUGCCUCGGAACUCCCUCUUCUGACUUGCACUGUGUUCCCAGUGACUGGCUUUCCUGAGGCCCAGAUACAUUUUCUUCCAAGAGGAUCCCUGUGAAAAAACCCAAAUCUCAGUCCCCAUUGU
rnacentral:lncRNA from 1 species